rnacentral:rRNA from 1 species
AUGGGUGGCGGUGGCCUUGGCGCCAUGGGAGGCAUGGGUGGCUUGGGAGCCAUGGGAGGCAUGGGUGCAUCUCCGGCCGCCAUGGGAGGCAUGGGUGGCUUUGGAGCACCCUCCGACGCUAUGGUCGCCAUGGGAGGCAUGAGUUUUGCUUCUCUCAUGGGAGGCAUGGGUGCACCUCCGGCCAUGGGUGGAAUGUCUUUUGAUGUGCCUCCUCACACACAUUCCCAUGAAGAUGUCAUUGAAGAUCUUGCCAACACCAUUGGAGCUUCACGUGAUGCGGUGCAUGGUGAGAUGAGGGAGGAAGAUUCAUCUUCGGAGGCGGAAGAAUCGUCUUCAGAAGAUGAGGACGAAGACGAGGAAGAGGAUUGA